GACGUAGGGCGCGAGCGUUGUCCGGAUUUAUUGGGCGUAAAGAGCACGCAGGCGGUUUGGCAAGUCGGAUGUGAAAACCCGGAGCUCAACUCCGGACCUGCAUCCGAAACUGCCCGACUAGAGGUAGGUAGGGGAGAUCGGAAUUCCUGGUGUAGCGGUGAAAUGCGCAGAUAUCAGGAGGAACACCGGUGGCGAAGGCGGAUCUCUGGGCCUUACCUGACGCUCAGGUGCGAAAGCUAGGGGAGCGAACAGG
rnacentral:rRNA from 1 species